UACGUAGGGGGCGAGCGUUGUCCGGAUUCAUUGGGCGUAAAGAGCUCGUAGGCGGCUUGGCAAGUCGGGUGUGAAACCUCCAGGCUCAACCUGGAGUCGCCACCCGAUACUGCCAUGGCUAGAGUCCGGUAGGGGCCCACGGAAUUCCUGGUGUAGCGGUGAAAUGCGCAGAUAUCAGGAGGAACACCGGUGGCGAAGGCGGUGGGCUGGGCCGGUACUGACGCUGAGGAGCGAAAGCGUGGGGAGCGAACAGG
rnacentral:rRNA from 1 species